rnacentral:rRNA from 1 species
AGUGAACGCUGGCGGUAGGCCUAACACAUGCAAGUCGAACGGCAGCACAGGAGAGCUUGCUCUCUGGGUGGCGAGUGGCGGACGGGUGAGGAAUACAUCGGAAUCUACUCUGUCGUGGGGGAUAACGUAGGGAAACUUACGCUAAUACCGCAUACGACCUACGGGUGAAAGCAGGGGAUCUUCGGACCUUGCGCGAUUGAAUGAGCCGAUGUCGGAUUAGCUAGUUGGCGGGGUAAAGGCCACCAAGGGGACGAUCCGUAGCUGGUCUGAGAGGAUGAUCAGCCAGACUGGAAAUAGGACACGGUCCAGACUCCGACGGGAGGCAGCAGUGGGGAAUAUUGGACAAUGGGCGCAAGCCUGAUCCAGCCAUACCGCGUGGGUGAAGAAGGCCUUCGGGUUGUAAAGCCCUUUUGUUGGGAAAGAAAUCCAGCUGGCUAAUACCCGGUUGGGAUGACGGUACCCAAAGAAUAAGCACCGGCUAACUUCGUGCCAGCCGCCGCCGUAA